rnacentral:rRNA from 2 species
UACGAAGGGGGCUAGCGUUGCUCGGAAUCACUGGGCGUAAAGCGCACGUAGGCGGCUUUCUAAGUCAGGGGUGAAAUCCUGGAGCUCAACUCCAGAACUGCCUUUGAUACUGGAGAGCUUGAGUCCGGAAGAGGUGAGUGGAACUCCGAGUGUAGAGGUGAAAUUCGUAGAUAUUCGGAAGAACACCAGUGGCGAAGGCGGCUCACUGGUCCGGUACUGACGCUGAGGUGCGAAAGCGUGGGGAGCAAACAGG